UGGCCAUAUCACGUUGAAACCCCUGUUCUAGUCCGAUCACCGAAGUUAAGAAAAGGCGAGCCUGGUCAGUACCGACAUGAGUGCCCGCUUGGAAAUAACAGGCACUGUA